AACGAACGCUGGCGGCAGGCUUAACACAUGCAAGUCGAGCGCGUAGCAAUACGAGCGGCAGACGGGUGAGUAACGCGUGGGAAUCUACCGUACCCUAUGGAAUAGCUCCGGGAAACUGGAAGUAAUACCAUAUACGCCCGAAAGGGGAAAGAUUUAUCGGGGUAUGAUGAGCCCGCGUUGGAUUAGCUAGUUGGUGGGGUAAAGGCCUACCAAGGCGACGAUCCAUAGCUGGUCUGAGAGGAUGAUCAGCCACAUUGGGACUGAGACACGGCCCAAACUCCUACGGGAGGCAGCAGUGGGGAAUAUUGGACAAUGGGCGCAAGCCUGAUCCAGCCAUGCCGCGUGAGUGAUGAAGGUCUUAGGAUUGUAAAGCUCUUUCACCGAUGAAGAUAAUGACGGUAGUCGGAGAAGAAGCCCCGGCAAACUUCGUGCCAGCCGCCGCAGUAAGAC
rnacentral:rRNA from 1 species